GAAAUCCUCAUGUUAACGGUUCCAAUUUCCAAUCCAGAUUGGAUUGGAAAUCCU
rnacentral:tRNA from 2 species